rnacentral:rRNA from 1 species
GACGAACGCUGGCGGCGUGCUUAACACAUGCAAGUCGUACGGUAAGGCCCUUUCGGGGGUACACGAGUGGCGAACGGGUGAGUAACACGUGAGUAACCUGCCCACAACUUUGGGAUAACGCUAGGAAACUGGUGCUAAUACUGGAUAUGUGCUCCUGCUGCAUGGUGGGGGUUGGAAAGCUCCGGCGGUUGUGGAUGGACUCGCGGCCUAUCAGCUUGUUGGUGGGGUAGUGGCCUACCAAGGCGGCGACGGGUAGCCGGCCUGAGAGGGUGACCGGCCACAUUGGGACUGAGAUACGGCCCAGACUCCUACGGGAGGCAGCAGUGGGGAAUAUUGCACAAUGGGCGCACGCCUGAUGCAGCAACGCCGCGUGCGGGAUGACGGCCUUCGGGUUGUAAACCGCUUUCAGCAGGGACGAAGCUUUUUGUGACGGUACCUGCAGAAGAAGCACCGGCUAACUACGUG